AUAUAUAUAUAUAGACCUUCUCGGCUGCGGACGUCCGCACCAACGGUUUUGGUGCAGAUUUCCAUUUUUGCACCACUUUCCGAUCGAAUUUCCUCAUCUCCACCGUCAAGUAUCUAGUUUGAGGGCCUUAACGAUCACCAAAUUGGCUGAAAUUUUGCAGAGAUGAUCUACACAAUAUUAUGUAGAUACUAAACGGUGGAGAUGAGAAAAUUCGAUCAAAAAGUGGUGCAAAAAUGGAAAUCCGCACCAAAAAAAUUGGUGCGGACGUCCGCAGCUGAGAAAAUCCGUAUAUAUAUAUAUAUAUAUAUUUAUAUAUUUAUAUAUAUGAGUCCGGUUCAAGGGACAUUAUAUUUGACACUAAUUUUUACACCGUUUUUUAUCCCUUAGAUCUUAAUUGAUCAAAUGGUUGUUAUUGAUUAUGAAUAUAAUUUGGCAAGUGACAUAACAAUAAUAUUUUUACUCUAGUAAAAAUAUAAACAAACUAAAAUAAACAAAUGCUUUUAAGAAGAAAAUCAAAGAAACAUCAGAAUUGGAACUGCCGAAGAAUGGAAUUCCCAGAAGAACACACAUAUCAACAACAACAACAAAAAAACAUGCCAUAGGGUUUUCUCAUGCCCACAGUUAAUCACCUAUUACUUCAUAUGAUACGGUUUGCUCAUGCCCAUAAUCAAUC
rnacentral:lncRNA from 1 species